AUGAAGGCAAACCUCUAUAUAUUGCUGAAAUAUGUUGCGGAUCCUGGGUUACUAUGGUUAUAUAUUUUAGGACACAAUGAGUCAACAACACACAAUAUUCCUUAUUUCCAGUAUAAAACCUUAAUUGCACAACACAAGACCCGUCAUGUAGUACUAACAACAUUCACAAUUACCGGCUUACAUUUGUUUUGGAUUGAGUUGCACAAGGCCAACCAGAAACAUGAAAGCUCAAUCCACACCGUCACCUCUUAUAAUCAGCAAUCCAUACAAAAUGUGUGUCCUAGCAAGCUCCAAAGACUUUAUAUUUGGUAA
rnacentral:rRNA from 1 species